rnacentral:rRNA from 1 species
AAUUUGUAGAAUUUGUCUUUGAUUAGGUCCUUGUCUAUGUUCCUUGGAACAGGACGUCAUAGAGGGUGAGAAUCCCGUUUGGCGAGGAUACCUUUUCUCUGUAAGACUUUUUCGAAGAGUCGAGUUGUUUGGGAAUGCAGCUCAAAGUGGGUGGUAAAUUCCAUCUAAAGCUAAAUAUUGGCGAGAGACCGAUAGCGAACAAGUACAGUGAUGGAAAGAUGAAAAGAACUUUGAAAAGAGAGUGAAAAAGUACGUGAAAUUGUUGAAAGGGAAGGGCAUUUGAUCAGACAUGGUGUUUUUUGCAUGCACUCGCCUCUCGUGGGCUUGGGCCUCUCAAAAAUUUCACUGGGCCAACAUCAAUUCUGGCAGUAGGAUAAAUCAUUAAGAAUGUAGCUACCUCGG